rnacentral:tRNA from 1 species
CUCAUUAUAGUUUAUUAUAAAAAUAUCGAAGUGCAAAUUCGAAGUAGGAUUUAUUCUGGUGAGU